GACGAACGCUGGCGGCGUGCCUAAUACAUGCAAGUAGAACGCACAGUUUAUACCGUAGCUUGCUACACCAUAGACUGUGAGUUGCGAACGGGUGAGUAACGCGUAGGUAACCUGCCUGGUAGCGGGGGAUAACUAUUGGAAACGAUAGCUAAUACCGCAUAAUAUUGAUUAUUGCAUGAUAAUUGAUUGAAAGAUGCUAUUGCAUCACUACCAGAUGGACCUGCGUUGUAUUAGCUAGUAGGUGAGGUAACGGCUCACCUAGGCGACGAUACAUAGCCGACCUGAGAGGGUGAUCGGCCACACUGGGACUGAGACACGGCCCAUACGACUACGGGAGGCAGCAGUAGGGAAUCUUCGGCAAUGGACGAAAGUCUGACCGAGCAACGCCGCGUGAGUGAAGAAGGUUUUCGGAUCGUAAAGCUCUGUUGUAAGAGAAGAACGGGUGUGAGAGUGGAAAGUUCACACUGUGACGGUAUCUUACCAGAAAGGGACGGCUAACUACGUG
rnacentral:rRNA from 1 species